rnacentral:rRNA from 1 species
CAGUCGCCGCGGUAACACCGAGGGUGCGAGCGUUAAUCGGAUUUACUGGGCGUAAAGCGUGCGUAGGCGGCUUUUUAAGUCGGAUGUGAAAUCCCUGAGCUUAACUUAGGAAUUGCAUUCGAUACUGGGAAGCUAGAGUAUGGGAGAGGAUGGUAGAAUUCCAGGUGUAGCGGUGAAAUGCGUAGAGAUCUGGAGGAAUACCGAUGGCGAAGGCAGCCAUCUGGCCUAAUACUGACGCUGAGGUACGAAAGCAUGGGGAGCAAACAGGAUUAGAGACCCCGGUAGUCCCUGUCUCUUAUAA